AUUGAGACGUCUAUAUGUAUGUAUACAAUGCAAUUGCUCAUUGGCCAAUUAAGUCUGAACGUUAUAAAAGCGCGUUAUGCAAGCACAAAGAAACAUUUCACACAAGGUUCGUGCUAUCUCCCGCCACGAUUAACGGCGUUGUCUUCUCGUGUCUUGUCGCAGUCCUGCUGGUCGGCACGUGCUGGGGCCAAUGUCCCUUUGCAUCCCCUCUACCGGGUUUCUACUGCGGACGCGGCGGGGAGAGAUGCCCUGACUCUUACUACUGCGAGAUCGGCCCAUUUGACAAUAACGUCUGCUGUCCCAUCCAACGACCUCCCACUUAUGGAAAAUAACGGCACGCUCGUCUAAUGCGGGGAAGAUGCAGUCUCGUGCCCCUCUUUGUACGUGCUGUAGCGCCCAGUGAUGCAACAUAUUAUGUAUUGACAAAAACCUUUGCAUGGUACAAAUAUUGUUGAUAUUAAUACCAACUGUCUUUUAUUUUGUCCAUUAUUUCAAUGCACCUUAACACACGCGAAGCAAAUACUUAAUGGAAAUAAGUGAAAAUAAUUUUUCUCUUUUUUGUGUUAUCCUUGGUAUUGUGUGUGCAUUCCAUGGCUUACUAUGUAUAUUGCUGUUAUAAUAUAUUUUAUGUUGUCUGCAUUAUGUAGUAACAAUGUAAUGUUCAUAUUUUUACCAAAUGAAAUAAAUAAAUAAAUAAAUAUGCAAUAUUUAAAUGUAGGGAUGGCAACGAAUACUGAAAAUGAUAUUCGAAUAUUCGGUUGUCAGUAUUCGAAUAUAUUCGAAUAUUCGAUUUUAAGCCUUAUUUUAAAAUGUCCGAACUUACGCCUGUCCGGAGCAAAGUAAUGUUCCUGAUUGCCACGCAUACCACUUAUAAUCGUUUUGUAUAUGCAGCUUUGGAAAAGGGAUAGAGUUUUAAUUUUUAAGAACGAUUUUGAUUAUUGUGUUCUAUUUAUUCGCUUAAUUAUUUUUAUUUUCAUAACAUAUUAGGCACGUUGCCGAUAAAAAUAAUACCGUAAUUCGGAUUUAUGUCAAUACAAUGUUGGGUUACCUCCCUUAGAUCAUAUGGGUUCUUUUAUUAUCUCCUUUUUUUAUCGGACUCCAGAGCUAAGACGAUGUCAAAACUUGGAAAGAAUUGUUAAAAUAUAUAAUUAUGUAUUCCGCCUUUGAACUUCAAAAUAAUUGCAUAAACAACCUUACUGCA